AGCAUCCCAGAGGCCGCUUCCUCGGUCGAGGACCCAGAGAGACUCAGGGGAAAUUAGAGCAUGAUGGCGGCCGAGGUCGCUUGGCGCAACCAUCGUCUUUUUUCUUUAUUUUUAGCUCAUUAGUGCCUUGCCUCGGCGCUGUUUCCCUAAGCUCCUCUCUCCAACCAGUACUGCCCUAUAACGGAAUCCAUACGUGCCGGCUCCUUGAUUUAUCCCCUCCGAAGUGCUGAGUGUGGGCUGGUUGUGCGUCAUUGGACUGUCAGGAUGUCACUCCCCAGUCAAAUCUUCAAGCUAUUGGUGGAACAGCAAGAAAGCCCGUCCAUCAACAAGGGCUAAUACCAUUGGUUUGACUCCACUGUGUUAUUUCCUGGCACCUUAUUGGGCAAAUAGGUGCGUCAGAUCCGGAUUCGCUCUGCUACGGUUAAUUGUUUACUGGGGAUUUGGGGUCAACUCUGGUUGUUUGGCCAGUAGUUGACGAUAAUAGUGACUCCCUUGCCUAUUUUGUGCCAAGUAUUGGGCUGCUUUCUUCACAAACAUUAUCUGGUUAAACCUGGGAGUAAUGCAGUAUCCAGUUUUUAUAGAUGGGAAAUUAAGGCUGGCGAGAGCUUAGAAAACUUGCCCAAGGUCAUCCAGAUACAGAGUCGUUGGUGGGCCUGGCAUCUGGUCCUGGGUCAAACUGCAGAGACUUCACUCUUUUUAUUAUGCUUUAGUGCCUCCACCUUAGACGAUGUACUUGUCAGCCAACCUAGCAUCUUAAAAACGUUUCAUUUGGAACUCAAAGUCUUCAGUCAGUUUCUAGAAGUGACUUUGUUGGGGACUUACUAUGGAAAGGUUGUCAUUGCCUCCACCACAUCUUCCUCCCCAGGACCCAUUCCUCUCCCCUUUAAGGUAGACAUUUCUGCCUCCUUUUAUGCGAAGCCUAGGCACCACUCGCAACCCCUGACCAACCAUCUACAACUCAUUCUUUGGAGAGAGUCCUCAAGAGCUGGAAAACUAGGAGAAAUCAAGUCUAAAGAGAGAGACAGAAUAAAUCGUCUUAGAAAUGAAUAAUUUAUUGCAUGCAAAGAGAACAGCCCUUCAGCUCCUGGAAAUCUUCCAGGAUAGUUGAUGCUGAGCAAGACGUGUGCUCCUGGCUGGUGGCCACUGGGUUCUUUCCCUAUAGCAGCAUUCAUCGAAGUGAAUCCAACAUUUCAGCCAGAGGAGGGCAGGACGCUUAGGACCCAUUGCCAGUGAGCUUUUGCGACCGAAAUGAUCUCCAGGAGCACAACGCUGGACUCUAGCCCACAUUCCAUCUUGGGUAAUUAACAUUUUACCGUCCCAAAUCCCCAUCCCCUGUAGCUUCAGUGGGAUCACCGCCCUUGUUUCACUUCCUGAUCCAAGCUGUUGUGUAACCUCCUUGGCACUGCUUUAAUAAUAAAACAACCAUUGUAACAUAGUAACAAUGCUCAACACUUAGAGCCUUUCAGCAAAUGAAGCCAAGGUAUUUCAUAAACGUCAAUUAAGAGUAAGUGGCAUGUAUUCCUAGGGCAACUGCAAGAAGGACAGAAGAAAGAUCGUGCGUCAAAUUCUAAUAUAGGUUGUAAGAACGUGAGUCCUUAAAAUUGUAUGCACAUACCCCAUAUUAGCCUUCCAGUAUGGGGAUUCUGAACUCAAAAACACAAUGAAUGAGAAACAUUCAGAAUCUAAAACCUUCCUAAUCUUCAAAGUUGGUUGCUUGGACCCCUAUUUUAGCACUUAAGUUGGUGCUUGACUUUCUGGGUAAUUGUUUGAUACAUUUCAGUUGUAAGUACCUUGAAGCAGAUGGUUUCUUUUUCAUCUUUGUGUCCUUCACAUUGUUCUGAUCGUAAAAGGCCCCCAAAUAAAUAAUUACUCAGUAAAUGUUUAGUGAGCAUGUCAGGCACUUUUACUAAGUUACAAAGGCUAUGCAGAUGAGUGAUACACUCUCUCUUCCUUCAAGGACCUCAGUCGAGUAGGGGUGUCCAGCAGAUAAGCAGAUAACCAUGAUGCAGUGCUGUGAGAAGGUGCCCUGGAAGCAAAUGGUAGGGACAUGGGACUCCAUCUCGGGAGGGACAGAAAUGGCUUCCUGGAAGAAGUGACACCUUCAAGGAGAACUAAAGAAUGAGUUACGGUUAGCUAGGCAAGAGACUGGUGAUGUGUGGUGACCUACGACAUUUGCUCUCUGGUGGCAGGGAGCAGAAUGGGAAUAUCCAGAGAUGGCCAAAGCCUGUUCUUCUUAGAAUCUUUGUCCAUAAAGGCCUCAGCAAUUUGUCCACUCCACCUCAUUGUGCCUUCCCUCCCAGAGACAAAACAAAUGCCUGAAACCUUCUCCUAUUUGCCCACUUGAGAAUAGGAAAAUAAUUUCCAAAUAAGAUGGCCGUUUUUCUGAUCAUAAAAGUAACAUUGAGGCCAGGCACAUUGGCUUAUGCUUGUAAUCCCAGCAAUUUGAGAGGCCAAGGCGGAAGGAUUGCUUGAGGCCAGGAGCUUGAGACUAGCUAGAGCAACACAGGCAGAGCCCAUUUCUACAAAAAGAAAGAAAAUAAAUAGUUGCGCAUGGUGGCCUGCGCCUACAGUCCCAGCUACUUGGGAUGCUGAGGUGGGAGGAUUGCUUGAGCCUGGGAGUUCAAGGCUGCAGUGAGCCACACCACUGCACUCCAGCCUGGGCAAUAGAGCAAGACCCUGUCUCAAAAAAAAAAAAAGUAACAUUGAGUAAAUAUAAUAUUAACUCAAUAUUUAAUAUUCUGUAUUUCAGACAAUAUAGAAAGUUAUAAAGUAAAAGCCGCCCAUAGUCUGUUACAUCCAGACACUGUUAAGGAGACUAUCUUCCCAGACUCUUUUAUGAACAGACCCACAAAUGAGUUUCUUCUUCCAACAAACAGUGGGAUGUGGUUCAGGGUCUUUUCUGGGCUCUCAGAGCUCUCAUCACCCAGAACUGCGGCUUUGGAUGGAACCUGCCCUCGCUUUCUAUACUUAUAGGAAGGAAGCCAAUCUGUCAAUCAAAUAUUUAUUGUGGAGAAGAUGGGUUUCAAUUCCUGUCAGAGCCAAUGGCAGGACUUUUGGGGCUUACUCAGCCUGGUGUGAAUGUUAAGCCAAUGAUUGGGGUGAGGGCGUCUGCCCUGUAGGGCUUACAGGCAUGCCUUGGUGCCUGCGGAAUCAACUCAUACCCUGAAAAGGCAGCCCAGGUCAGAGAAUGCUAUGCCAGGGUGCUCUCUUGUGCUUGCUCUCAUUUCCUCUCUGCAUGCUACUUGGGGAAAAUAUUUUUCUGUUUGUUUGUUCCAACCCACCCAGCUUUCAGAGUAAAAAGACUCGUUAAGCCCUGCACACUUGUAUGCAGGCCAAGUGCACUAUGUUCUUGGAGCGCUGUGCUAUUCUUAGCGCUCUAUAUGUGGUGUUCUAUACAGUUGGCUUUUUGCUGGAGGGGAAGGCAGAUUUCAUGAGUGAUAGCUGCCUUGGCUGGCUACCAAAAGUGCUCUGAGCCAUCUCAAGCAACAGGCCUUCCUUUUUUCCCUUGAGAGGUUGUGUUGUGAUCCCUGCCCUCGGCUUGGACAAAUUCCAAGGCAAUGGGAAUUUUUGUGAACAAUUCUGCAAUAACCCACAAGCUGGGGGAAGGGGGGAUAGCAAGCUGGAUCUGCUCCAGCUCUAAUUUCUGUGACACAGAAGAACUCCUUCCGCCCUUUGCACUGGCCCCUCAUAGCUAUGAAGAAUUUGGAAGUGUUCAUUAAGCAUUCUCCAAUUCUUGAAGCUUAUAACAAUGGGAAGAUCCCUGUAAAGGAAUCUGAUCCAAAAGACAAGGGGACAGCUGACAGCUGAUACUGCUUGCUUGGGCAGUGGGUGUAGCCAUUGCCAAAGACCAAGAGCAAUGAGGCAGGGAAACUCUCUAAAGAGGGCUGAUUACAGAGGGCAUGCUUAUAAGCAUUUAUUGCAUGUCUGGGAGCAUUUACUGUGCAACACAUCCCUUGUGUCUGUCUCACCUUCUAAAUCACCUAUCAUUUUUUAUGACCACACUUCCUGAGAAGCUACUUAGUUAAGCAGCAAACACUGGACCCCCUCAUGUGUGCUGGCCAAUGCUAGACACACAGGAGGCAGCUCACAAGAGAACCAGGAUUAUGGUUAAUAAUAACUACCCUUUGGUGGACACUUGCUGUGUGUCAUACACUGUACUGAGGGCUUUACGUGGAUUAUGGCUGUUAAUCUUCACAACAACCAUUGUUAUCCACAUUUUCUAGAUAGGAAAAUGGAGGCACUGAAGGGCUAACUAACCCAUCGUUGAACCUAGGCGGUCUGACUCCAACGAGUAAGCUCUUGUCCACGCUGCUAUAUUGCCUCUGGGAUGUCUGACUUGGGAACCCCACAGUGCAGCUGGGGAGAUGACCAGCCCUCAAUGAACAGUUGUCCUCGUAGUCUUUAGUAUCUCAGCCCCAUCCUCUUUACCCCCUAUAAACUCAAGGAAAGAAAUACACCUCUUUCCGGCUAAAUUACUGCCUCUGGUGGUCCUUCCUCCACGUCCCAACUGAGAUCUGGCUUUUCUCCCACUCCCUUCAAAUAGCUUCCUUCCCUUUCUUCUCUAUUUUCUUAUCCUAGCUUUUUAAAUAAUGGCCUGCGGCCAUCUCCACCACCAGGAAUGCUCUCUCGUUUUCUCUCUCUGAACCUGGCUUCUAGCCCUAACUCUACUGAAAUUCAUUUCUCUAAGCUCAUCUAUAACCUUUUUGUGGCCAAGAUCCAAGAGACUUUCUCAGUCCUUGUUUCCAUGGCUUCACCAAUACGUUUUACUCUGAGAAUCUUUUCUUUGCUUCCCCAAAUAGCCAGCUUUCCUCCUACCUCUACAACUGUUCAUGCUCUUUUCCCUACCAUCUCUUUCUCUAAGCUCCUUCAAAGGAAUCUGUCUGCACUUCUCUCCUUAUGUUGUCUCUGGGGGCGUGCGACGCUCGCAGGACUCAGCAAGCUCAGCUGGGUCAUUAUCCUACUUUCACCUCUAAGAUGAGAAUUCUAUCUCUCCAUCUCCACCCUUCAUUCUGCAGCUUGUUUGCUGCGUGACUUUUUGCAAGUCACACAAACUAUCUAAGCUUCAGUUUCCUCGUUUCUAAAAUGAAUAUAUUGAAUCGGAUUUGUUAUUCUCCACCUAAGAUAAUGAUAAAACCUAACAUUUUAACCCACAUACCAGGCCAGGCGUAGUGGUUCAUGCCUGUAAUCCUCCCAGCACUUUGGGAGGCAGAGGCAGGUGGAUCAUGGAAGUCAGAGGUUCAAGACCAGGCUGGCCAAAAUGGCAAAACCUCAUCUCUACUAAAAAUACAAAAAUUAGCUGGGUAUGGUGGCGCGCACCUGUAAUCCCAGCUACUCAGGAGGCUGAGGCAGGAGAACUGCUUCAACCUGGGAGGUGGAGGUUGCAGUGAGCUGAGAUCGCGCCACUGCACUCAAGCCUGGGCAACAAAGGGAGACUCCAUCUCAAAUUAAAAAAACUGCAUACUAUGCCAGGCAGGACUAAGUGGAAAAUGAAAGCAUGGGGUUCUGUGUUCACAGGUUUCAUGCCCAUGAAGCCAGCUCUAGUACCAGCCUCUGCUCCAAGCAUUGUAUAUGUAUGAGCUUAUUCAGUCCUCAUAGUAACUUUCUGAGGUAGAUACAGAUGAAGAAAGUAAGGCAGAGAUAGGUUAAGCAGUUGCCCAAGGUCAGUUUUUAAUUGGUAGAAUUGAGGAAAAUAACACUUGCCUGUUGGGGCUGUUGUGAGACUCACGGGUGCAGGUGCAUAGGGAAGGCUGGUUCCUGUCCAGGGACCCCUCAGCCCGGCCAUGCCCAUUCUCCGGCAGAGAGUUUGUCCAUGUGGUUUCUGCUGCCUAUGAUGCCCCCUCUUCCUCUGCCUGUCCCCAAGUCUACACUUUCUUCAAAGCUCAGUUCAAGCCCCUCCUCCUCCUCUGAGGGGUUUCUGCAGCCGAGGCAGGCCCACAUCUCCCUUCCCCUGGCAGAUUUCCUGAGCACCCAUAGUGAAGGCAGCCCCCUCCCUGCCUUAGGAGCACUCGCUGGCCUUUGCGUACUCCAGGCUCAGUAAUAACCAAUCCUACAAGGCCAGAGGAAAAACUUUUUUCUCCAUAUCCUUGGAGCAGCUUGCUGUAGACUGUCUCACCCACCAGACAGGAAGGCUUUGCGGGCAAAACCUAUAUUUGAGUUAUCUGAGUCUUCACUGUGUCCUCGAUAAUUGUGAUUCUCAUAAUUCUCCUAAAAGAGUUCUGUCUAGGCUCUGGACCUUUCCCUGGAAUGCCUUGCCUCAUUGUCCCCUCCUCCAUUCACUCCUCAGGUAUCGGCUCAGAGAUUACCUCCUCCUCCAGGAAGCCUACCCUGUUCUUCUCCCCCAGGUUAAGUGCCUCCUCUGGGCUUCUUUACAUGCUGUGCUUUCCCAUCAGAACACUUGCCUCCCAGUAUCCAUCUUCCUAACCAUGUUCUGAACAUUUGAAGGUAAAGGCCAGGUCUAUCUUAUCACAGUGCCUGGAACACAGUAAGUUCUCAAUAAGUUCGUUUGAACAAAUGAAUGAACGAAUGAAUGAAUGAAAAAAUUAAAUGUUGAGCAGGUGCAGUGGCUCACAUCUGUAAGCCCAGCUACUUGGGAGGCUGAGGUGGGAGGAUCACUUGAGCCCAGGAGUUAGAGACCAGCCUAGACAACAUAGCAAGACCCCAUCCCUAAAGUUUUUUUUUUAAUUAGCUGGGCAGGGUGGUGCAUGCCUGUAGUCCCAGCUACUUGGGAGGCUGAGGCGGGAGGAUCACCUGAACCUAGGAGUUUGAGGUUGCGGUGAGUUAUGAUUAUGUCAUUGCACUCCAACCUGGCAACAGAGACCCCCAUCUCUUAAAAAAAAAGUUGGUGAAAACUCUGGGCUCUGCAGGCAUCUCAGCACAGGGCUUGGCACCUGAUGGGUGCUUAUGUACAUUUAUGAAAUGGGUGAGAACAAAUCCAGAAUUUCUGUUCAGAAGAAGCCUUAGUGGCAGCGGUCUGGUUGGAGGAGUGAGACUAGUGAAUUCCUCUUGACAGAACAAUGACAAGGUAAACAUGAGAGUUGAGAGUCCGUGUUGGGAGCGGAGGCAUAAAGGAGAGGUGUCCUAGGCCAGAGGUCAGCAAGCCCAGGCUUGAGGACCAAAUCCAGCCCACUGCCUGUUUUGGCACAGCCUGUGAGCUAAGACUGGUUUUUGCUUUUGUUUUUUUGUUUGUUUGUUUUUGAGAUGGAGUCUAGCUCUGUUGCCCAGGCUGAAGUGCAGUGGCAUGAUCUCAGCUCACUGCAACCUCCGCCUCCCAGGUUUAAGCAAUUCCUACGCCUCAGCCUCCCGAGUAGCUGGGAUUACAGGCAUGUGCCACCACACCAGGCUAAUUUUUGUAUUUUUAAUAGAGACAGGGUUUCACCACGUUGGCCAGGCUGGUUUCGAACUCCUGACCUCAGGUGAUCCACCCACCUCGGCCUCCCAAAGUGCUGAGGUCACAGGCAUGAGCCACCGCACCUGGCCGGUUUUUGCAUAUUAAAAGAAUAUUACUACUUUGUGAUACAUGAAAAUUAUGGAUUCAGAUUUCAGUAUUCAUAAGGUUUCACUGGAACAUGGCCACACCUGCUUGUUUCUGUACUGUCUAGGGGUGCCUCAGUGCUAUGACAGUAGCUGCAACAGACACACUGAAUGUUCACUUUUUGGCCCGCCACAGAAGGAGCUUGCAGAUCCCUGCUUUGGCCGUCUAGCUGACCUAGGGGAGGAAGGACGUAUGCUGCCAGCCAGCCACAAGGUGUCAGCCUCUCACCAUGAUGCUGCCAGCCGCGUGGGCUUCUCCAAGUUCUCCAAGGCUUCUCUCCAGGGCCACCUGCGCAGGACCAGGACUGUGGCCCCUAGACCCCGUCCCACCAGGCUAUAGUCACUAGUGUGAAAGCCAAAGACAUCAAGGCGGGGUGUGGAAUCUACAUGAGGAGUACAGGCCUGGCUUGGGAAGCCCCAUGGCCUGGAGAAGGGUUGGCAGACUUCUCCGGACAUGCUCUGUUUCUUUGAUUUAGGUUUUAUUUGUAUUUUGUAUACAAAAGAUUCUCCAAACAAACUAAAAUUGUUUAUUUCACCACAAACUAUCAAUCCAGAAAGGUUGUGGGACUUUUGCACAACCAGAUAAGACCGCAGCCCUCUAAGGAUGAACCUGCAUGAGGGGAACACAGGUCCCUGCCAAGCAGAGUGGCUCCGAAAUGGCAUCUCUGGCAGGUUUUCUCUCCCUUUCUGUCGAAACCUGGGCCUUGGCCAGGUGUGGUAGCUAAUGCCUGUAAUCCCAACACUUUGGGAGGCCAAGGCGGAAGGAUCGCUUGAGGCCAGGAGUUCAAGUCUAGCUUGGGUAACACAGUGAGAUCCUAUCUCUACAAAAAAAUAUUGAAAAUUAGGGCAGGAGCGUUGGUGCAAGCCACUACUACUACUAGCUACUUGGGAAGCUGAGGAUGGAAGAUCUCAAGGAACUCAUUGAGCCCAGGAGUUUGAGGCUGCAGGAAGCCAUGAUUACGCCACUGCACUCCAGCCUGGGUGACGGAGCAAGAUCAUCUUAAAAAAGCAAAAAAGAAAGAAAGAAAGAAAAAAGAAACCUGAACUCUGUAGCUUCCUUCAGGUGAACAAGCAGUUAGCCCUGUGUGCCAACGAUUCAAUAUGAAAGUGGUAAAUUUCACAGGGAAUUAAAGGGGAGGAUCUAGGAGAGAAGAUCCCAAAAGGAAAAUAAGCCACUGGAGGUCACAACCCUGGAGGCUCCUCCGAUGCCCAGCUGUUUGCGUCAGCCCCUGUGCUAGGUGCUUCACGUGGUUACUCUGGAGAGUCGUCUCGAGAUCAUCCCCAUUUGACACAUGAGGAAACAGGAAAGUUCGGGGAUGUGAAAUUGCUUGCUGGGGUCAUUAGCUGUUCGGUGGCAGAGAUAGGAUUUCAGCCCUUGCCUGCCUGUUCUGAAGCCUGUCCUCUCUAUGCCAUGCGCCCCCGCCAAGGUCAUGCAGGCAUACCACUUCAAUACCAUGCCUUCCUCGCUCACCAUGGAUCCCCAGGCCGGGCACCCAGCAAAUAUCCACCGGAUGAAUAAAUGGGUGCAGGCCUGCAAGCACUGCAGCGAACCUUUCCCUGUGCAGUCGCCUAACUUCCAAGACACUUCCAGGAAGAGAUGAGGCAGAGAGUCAAAGCUGCGAGCAGGAAAUAAGAAUCAUGACGCAUGGUUUUCUGCACACCAUGGGCUCUUUUCCCCUUGCUUGUACCCACAGCACUGUGGGCACCGCGGACAUACUGCCUGUUCUUGCCUUUUGCUCCUUUCCUCCCCCAGCUCCCACGCGCUUGCUGGCUUCCGUGGCAGGCCCUAGCCCAUCUCCUUCUAUUACGUGGACAUCUGCUCCUAAAGCUGCUUUUCAGUGGCUGCAGGCAAUGCCCUAACUUCUAGCCAUUUUUCUAAAUGAAAACUUGAUUCCAGCCGGCUGUCACUGUGAAAGUGCUCUAGGACGGUCCAGAUAACCAGAUUCUAGCCCUUCCUGCGACUCAUUGGGUGACUUUGGACAAAUUUCCUCACCUUGGGCCCUCCUUUCUAUGCUAGCUUUUGAAAGGAAGCAUGCAGACAGGGCCAUCCUUGAGCAGCUAGAGGCCUGCAGGCCCAGUGCCACCUAGUCUGGACCACCCAGGAGAUGAAGACCAUGCACUUAGGACAGAUGAAGAAAGGAGAAGCCUUCCUAGAGGAAAGGAUUAGAUCAGGAGGGACUUUUGAUAAACCCAGUCCUUAAGAAAUUAAAUCACAGCAGAACCCCAUUUGGCAUAUACGGUAUUAGAAGUCAGGAAUGAGACAGAAAGGGUCAUGAUCAAUUCUAGAACCUCUAUGACACAUCCUGUUUAUUCACCUGGCUAAUUCUCUGUACUGAAUGGCAGUCAAGUCUUCAAUCAUUUAACAAAUAGGUAUUAAGCAUAUAUUGUGGCUGCAGAGCUGAGCCAGGCAGGUGAGGCACCAGUGCUCACAAAGCCCGCUCUCCAGGCUCAGGAACCCCAAGGACAGAUGGGUACCUAUCGUGCCAGGCAGCAGCACAUGGCAUCUAGAAGCAGGGCUUUCCUCAGUCCCUAGCUGGGAGAGCAGAAGCUGCAAGGGGAAGGGCGAGAAGUCCAGGCCUGCCUAACUGUGCAAGGUCUCUGGGCUGAUCUCAUGGUUACUUAGCCCCAGAACAUACUCACGGCUGUGCCUGCCCUUCUUGCCCUUCUCCUCACUCAACCUUGGACUGGUUCUGCUCACUGAGCUGGGGGUACCUGAUUUGCAGCAAACCUCCUGCCCCUGGAACAGCAGUGCAGACGAUCAGCAGCAGCCACUACGUCCUUUGGGCAGGGAGGCAGGAGUGUGGCGCACUGCCAGAUGAGAAAUUGCAUCCCUAGCGCACGGCAGGGCUAAUUAGCUGCUAAGGGGGCUUUGUCAAUGUUCACUGAGAAUGUGGUCAUGACAGGCUCCUAAAAAUGGCCUGACUCUCGCAGGAGGCAAAGGCCAGUCUGGCCAAAGUGUAACCUGGAAGCCCUGGUUGGUGAAGGGGUCCGAGGACCCCGUUAGAGUUGAGGGAGAAAAGGCAAAUGCUCCUGUCCUCAGGGCCCAGCCUCCCACACCCCCAAUCCCCUCUCAGCCAAGCUCCCUCCCUGCCUUGGGCUGUAAACCAAAGUUUACUGACUGAGGGAAGGAGCAGUCCCAGGUAAAGGCCCUGUAAGGACCCCCACAUAGGCCCGCAGCAGGCAGCAGCCAAGGAGGUCUCAACCACCCAUGCCGAGACUGCCAGGACGGCACUGGGCAGGGAAAAAGAGACCUCAGUGCGAGCGCUCUCAGAAAAGCAGUGUCAAAUUCUGCCCCCACUGCGGGAGGCCGCAGGAUCUUACCCUCAUUCAAGUCUAGUUCAGGAGCCUGCAGGGAUGGGGCCAGGAAGGCCACUGCAGCCAGUGCCCCUGCAGUUCCAGCUGCACCUUACAUCUGGAGUUCAGAGGCUAGAGAAAGACUGGAACUUGGGAUCCCAGGCUCAGGGCCCUGCCCUCUUCCCUUUUAUUCCACCAAUCUCUUGGGUGGGGAGUGGCGUGGGGAA
rnacentral:lncRNA from 1 species